CUCCCCUUCUGCUUCAUUCUGCAAUCAGUCUCUAAACGCUAAGCAGCACUAACAGGCUCUCCAACAUUGCCUAUAAUUCAGGCAACGUUUGGAGUUAGUAGGCAGACUAGACAUCUAUUAUUUCUGUCUAGCUUUAUCUAUCUUGAUGGGCAAAUUACAGUGCAUACUGUUUGAAUUUGUGUUGGAUAAUUAUAGUUCAGGCUUGUGGAAUCAUAUAUGCUUUCAUGCUUAAAGGGACACUCUAGUCACCUGAACAACUUUAGCUUAAUGAAGCAGUUUUGGUGUAUAGAACAUGCCCCUGCAGCC